CGGCCACUUAGCGGCCGGAGAGCUCGCCAGUUGCCUCCGCCGCCGCCUUGGAAUCUGGGGACCCGACAGACGGCGAGACCCAGCCUCCGCCCGACCCCGGCGAGGCCGCGCGGCUGCUGCGCCUGCCCCACCCGCCGCACCUGGGAGCGGUGAUCACCAGGAGAGGUGGGGCGUGGCGAGCGGCUGGCCGGGCGCCGGAGCAGCUUCGCCAAAAGCCAGCCGGACCGGCGCAAGGCGGAGGGGGAGGGUCUCGGGGCAGAGGCCGGCUCCUCCGAGGGAGAGACCCCAGCUGGGGUGGAAAACGGCACAAACCAGCUGCACAGACGCUGGGCGCGGAUCAUGGAGCGGGCCAGCCCCGGCUCCGGGGAGUCGAAGCUGCAGCGGGACCAGGAUUCCGUGGAAGCGUGGCUGGAUGAUCACUGGGACUUUACCUGCUCUUACUUUGUUAGGAAAGCCACCAGGUAAGAAGAGGACCCCUGGAAGACCCACCCGGGGCGCUGAGAGUGACCUGGGGGCUCAUCUCUCUCCCUUACUGAAUUUUCCUCUUCCUUUACCAUUAAACGACCUCGGUUCCCAGGCCCUUUGCUUUUGAAGUAGGUCUUUGGUCCUGUUAGGGUGUAGACACCUCGACUUUAUGGCUAGUACAGUCGAAAAGCCCAAGCGUGGGAUUCGAUCCAACUUGCUCAAAAAGUUCAAUGCAAAAAUGUACAUGUGGACCCCCCCCCCACACACACACACACAGCCCGGCUGCCCCGGUAUUCCCUGAGAGCAAGAUUAUUUACAUACAUCCGCGCUCACGGGCCUUCCCCCAGCCCUUCUUUAGCCUCCUAGUCCCCCUAAAUCUCCUCAGCGAAACCAAAACAGUUUUGAGCCCCUUCCCUGCGGCUCCGGAAGCACCAUUUCCAACUCGGUCCCAGCAGCUCCGCUCCUCCCCCGUCCCCCCUCGCCCUGGCCCUUGGCGGGCGGGGAAGUCGGGGUAGGGGCGAGACCACGAGGAGCCCAAAGGCAGCAACAUGCCGGAGUCUUCCCAGAGUAAGCGCUGUCGCCUUUUGCCCCUUUCCAGUCCCUUGCUUGGCCCGGCGCUUCCUUUCACUCUCUCUUGCUCCCAAGGCGGCGCCGCUGAAAGGGCUCCGCAGAGGGGUUCGCGGCGCGCACACAAAGGGCGCUGGGGAGGCGCGGCGGGAGCCGACAGCGGGGCGCUGACGGGUCCCGCGCAGCCCCAGCCGACCCCAGAGGCCAGCUCUUCCCGGUCGAGAGCCAAGCGCCGGGCGGCCGCUGCCGAGGGCGGGGAGGAGGGUGCCUGUCCUUUGGGAGGUGGCUGCCCGGGGGGCAGUUGGGGCGCGCGUGGGAAAGGCUCCCGUAGAGUUGGGGAGGAAUUGAGGUUGAAGCCGAGGAAGGAGGGGCCGGAGCAGAGAGUGGAGGCGGGCGGAUGCCCUGAAGCCUGAGGAGUUGGUGAGAAGCCGCUGCGCGGGCAAAGGCUUCUACACGCGGACUCCGACUGACUCCAGGACGCGCCUCUUUGGAGAAGAGUCCCGGACCCGCCGCCGCCGCCGCCGCCGCCUCCAGGCAGCGGCCGUCGGGCAGCCGGCGCUGGCUGCCUUGGCCGCCAGGAAAGCGCACUCAGGGCGGUGAUGGUGGAGCGGCCGGCCGAGGCUCGGCGCUGGGCUCCCCCCCGCCGGCGUUCGGCCUCCGCUCUGCCGGGCGCUCCCCGCCAGGGGGCGGCGCAGCGCGGAGCGAGCGGGCUGCGGCGGGCGGCGGCCCGGUGGCGGGGUCGGUAAGGGAGCAGGCUUGGAGUCACCGCCUCCCCUGGGCACGUCGUCGCCCCCCGGCGCCUCCCGGAGUCCAGAGUCUGCGGAGGCCGCGUGGUCUGCACUUCGACCUUCCUAUGUUUGCUGUGUUGCCCUUUGGAGACAAAACAAGGCCGGUCUAGUAGACCACAACUACACACGCCCAGCCGGGACCCUGCGGAGCUUGACCACCCAGAACUGGGCGACCACGCCUACCCCCUGCGCCUGCGGACAGGCCAGCUCCGAAAAGCGCCCAGAGGACCUGCAGGCCCCGCCCCACGGGGCGGGGCCUAGAGGCUCAUCGCGCCUGCGCCGAGGCCCGAGGGCGUGCUGCGCCGUUACUUUUGAAACGAGUGGCGGGGAACUGCUGUGGGCGUCUCCGCCGUCGCUCUCUGCCGGGGGGAAGCGCACUCCUUCGUCUGUAGGACUGGCCAUGGCGCUGCAGCUCUCCCGGGAGCAAGGCAUCACCCUGCGCGGGAGCGCCGAAACCGUGGCCGAGUUCUUCUCAUUUGGCAUCAACAGCAUUUUAUAUCAGCGUGGCAUAUAUCCAUCUGAAACCUUUAAUAGAGUGCAGAAAUAUGGACUCACCUUGCUUGUAACAACGGAUCCUGAGCUCAUAAAAUACCUAAAUAAUGUGGUGGAACCGCCGAAAGAUUGGUUAUACAAGUGUUCAGUUCAGAAACUGGUGGUUGUCAUCUCAAAUAUUGAAAGUGGUGAGGUACUUGAAAGGUGGCAAUUUGAUAUUGAGUGUGACAAGACUGCCAAAGAUGACAGUGCACCCAGAGAAAAGUCUCAGAAAGCUAUCCAAGAUGAAAUCCGUUCAGUGAUCAGACAGAUCACAGCUACAGUGACAUUUCUGCCACUAUUGGAAGUUUCUUUUACUCCUUCAUUCAUCAGAUAUAUCCUAAAUACCUACUACAUGCGAGAUGCUGUUCUGGGCACUGGGAUACAGCUGUCACAGAACCAAGGUACAGGAAUGAAAACAACAUGUUCCGAUUGGGCCUGUCGAGGUCUGAAACAGAGCCCCAGAUGGGACUGAACCACACCCGGUCUUCAGGACUCUUCUCCCAGUGUCAUCAAUUGGACAGGGAAGUCAAGCCUGGAUGGGAAUUUUACACAGAGGGGUACAGAUCUGUGAUUCAUCAGUCUUCCACAAUUCACAGCACUCACCAUAGCACAUACCCGCCCCAAUGUCUAUCACCCAGCCACGUCAUCCCUCCCACCCCCCCACCACUCCAGCAACCCUCAGUUUAUUUCCUGAGAUUGAGAGUCUCUUAUGGUUUGUCUCCCUCUGGUUUCAUCUUGUUUCAUUUUUCUCUCCCUUCCCCUAUGAUCCUCUGCCUUGUUUCUCAAAUUUAGAGAGUGACCCUGAGACAUUAUUGCCUUCUUCGAAAAUUUAGAUAUUCUGGUUUCAUUUCCUUGUGUCUCGUGUCCCAUGCUUUUGGCACUUUGGUGCAAGAUUGUGGUCUAGAGAAAACGUCUACUCCCAAAUUCCUCCGAGUGUGUUCUCUCCAGAACAGUGGAGUGAAACACAUUCUCCUCUGCCAGUGCAUGAGGAAUGGGGUAAUGAACGUCACCCUGCUCCCUUAGCACUAUGUUUAACUUACUAAUAUGCCACGUCUUACUUGUUCUGAUAGUAGUAAUUGUCAUCACUCUUCCAUAGACUUUUCAUUCCUACCUAGGCAGGCUGAGUUGGACCUGGCUAGGAAGUAGUUGACCAGAACCAAGAUUCUAAGAAAAUAAAAUACCACGGUCGCAGUAAGAGCCAAUGAGUCAGGAUUACUCUUUGUCAAGAAGGAACAGAAGGAUACCAAAGUUUAGCAAGACUUUAAGAAGGUUCUAGACAUCACAGAUGAAAGUAGUCAAAAGUUAGUAUUCCAAAGAGUGGCGCCAUUUGAAAAGACAGAACACAAGCACAAACAAAUAAAAAAGAUUCCAAGACACUUAAAUUAAGGGCAGAAACUUUUCUUUUCUCUCUUACUCCUUCCUGUCUCAGUAGGAUCUGACCACUGGUGUAAGGAAAGAGACUGCAGCUGGGAAGGAAAUGAUGCCAAGAGCUGCAGCUGCAAAGAGGGUUUUUUUUUUUUUUUUAACUUUUAUAGUGUAAAAUUAAUACAUACACACAUUUUAAAAAACAAGCAGUACAGAGUGGUACCAAAUGAAAAGUAAAUUCCCUGCCUGAGCCUGUUCCCCAACUCCUCAUUUCCAGCUCCCUAUUUUUAAAUAUUUUCUGUUCUGCUGGUGGUUAUCACAAUACCUCUGAAACCUAUGUUAAUGCUUUCAUUUCUUGUUUUAUGAACUUGAAAUAGCAUCUAUUGAAAGAUGAGAAACUUAUUUCUUUUAUCCAUCUGCUUCUACAUUUUCCAGUUACAUUGUUUUGGUUUUUCUGGUUAUUACCAUUUUAAAGAGUAUGCUUACGUCUGUAUUUUGUUACAUCAAUUUUAGACAGUGUAUCUUGAUUUUUUGCUAUAUAAAUAAAUAGGUGAAAAAGAUCUGUGACAUUAUCUCUUCCACGUCUCUGCUGCCUUAAUAUUCAGACUUCCAUUUUUUUUAUAUUAUCAAUGUUAGUAUUAGUCAGAUUCUUUUACAGUUGUUGUCUUCCAAGUUUUGUUUAUACGUUGAUUCUACAAAUUAAAAUAGCAUUUCCAUUAUUCCAAUGAUUAAAUUACUCCUUACCGAAGGACCAAAUAGCUCUACUUACUGAGAAAGAAAGGGUAAUCUUAUGUCAUUAAAACUGAAAGAUGAAUGUUCCAAGUGUCAAAGUCAAGUGGGAUUCCUGAAACUCAAUCUUCAAGACUUUCUAGUACAUUUAAUUUGGUCGAUGAUAUCUUUAAUUUCCAAAAAAUCUUUUUCUUUGUUCUUAUUUUAUAGCCACCCAUUCUUUGGCUUCUUGACUCUGAAGAUGUUAGUUGGUUUUGUUUUCUUAAUCAGUUUUUUUUUUUUUUUUCCCUGUUCUCUUACUUGUUUUCUUUAGGAUUCGACUGUUACAAUAUCUGUUCCACUUAGACCUCCUCAUUUUUGUUUUUCACUUACUCUAAAUUUUCUGGGUUUUUUCCUCCCAUAUAUGUGAGUGAUGAAAAAGGUUGACCAGUAUUGAUAGCAUGAUUUGCCACUGCAGUAUUAGACCUCUUUCUUGAAUGAAAAGAUGGAUGGCAGGUUCUGUGUACAUAUAAGCUAGUAGUACUGUUUUAGGGUACAUUUAGAUAUUUUGUUCACCAUGUAUUUUUUGCAAAUUGACUUUUUAAAAUACUAUAUUAAAAUUAAAAUAUCAUAUCUUAUUUACUUAGUUUUUUGGUGCACCUCAAAUUUUGUGUGCCUGGUUUCACUCACUGUAGUAUCUAUUUGGGCCAAGGGCCUGAAAGGUUAAAUGUACUUUCCAGGUAUGGUCAGUAGAGGGCAGCAAAGGGUAGUGGAGUGAGCACUCGCAGCCAAGGCCUGGGCAUCCCUUUUUUCCCCUCUAUAGAGAUAAAAACCCAUCAGUGGUAGUAGAAAGUCCAGAGUGCCAGAAUCAGGAGAGAAAUUACUCAUAGGGAUACUGAUCCAGAAUGGGGAUCAGCUGAGGAGGCACAAUUCACAGCCUGGUAUCUAUCUUAGCGAUGUGAACCACUAGACAUCAGGAGGGGAAUCAUUCGACUUUCCCAGUCCUGACUCCUCCUACUCCCUGCCUGUCUAAAACCUCAGAUCUGGCUCCGUAAAAUAACAGGAGUCUCCUGUCCAUCUUGGGAGCUGAUGCAAACUUCCUGACUGAGAGUUAGGACAUGGUACCAGCAGUGGCUAAGUGUUCCUCAACCAGCCAUUUCAGGGAGGAGAGACUGAGUGGGAUAGGGGCACCAUAGGCAAACACUGACAGCUGAUGAAAACACUCACAUAUGUGUCAGUUAAAUAAUUUGGGAGCCAACCUAAAUGGGAUGUGGCUUAAAAUAUAUUUUCUUUCCUCCUCCAGAAGGAAAACAUUGUUUAGGUGAGGAAAAACUAUAUGACUUUGAAAUUAGACAAACUUGACUCUGCAGAUUAUUUGGUAUGUGGUUCUCAGUUACUUCACUUUAUUGAGCUUCAGUUUCUCCAUCUAUAAAAUGGAAAUAAUGAUUCUUACCUCACAAAUCUGCUGCAAGCAAAUGAGAUGAUGUCCAUAAACUGCCUGGCAAAGAACUUGGCAAUUUGUAGUUACUCAAUUGGCAUUACUACCUGUUCUCUCUCCCUGUCUUUAUUCAUGGGGGGAAUACCCAUUAUAUUGUUGCUAUUUUUGAAUAAAAAGUCUCAUUGUCUCCUGUAAGCAUAACUAAAUUAUUUGAAGGAUUAAUCUGUUAGGUACCAUACUAACAUUUCUGCAGUAUGAUCUCAUUUAAUUCUCACAACAACCCUAUGAAGCAGAUGCUUUUAUCAUCAUUUUGAUUUUGCAGAGAAGGACAUUGAGGCUUUAGAAGUAUAACUGGUUUACCCAGUGUCAUGUAGGUAGUAAAUCAUAAGGAAGGAUUAAAACUAGGUAAUUGGAUUCCAGAGCUCAUGCUCUCGACACUACAUAAUGUUUUCCAAUAUACACAUUUAAUCAAAGAUUUAAAAUUGUAAGGGAAUAAAUCAGAGCAGAAAUUAAAAAAUACAUGGAGACAAAUGAAAAUGAAAACACCAUGGUCCAAAAACUUUGGAAUCCAGCAAAAGCUGUUCUAUGAGGCAAGUUUAUAGCAAUCAAGGCCUACCUCAAGAAGCAAGAAAAACAUUGAAGAAACAACCUAAACUUACACCUACAGAAGCUAGAAAAAGAACAAACAAAACCCAAAACCUAAAGAAGGAAGAAAAUAAUAAAGAUUAGAGCAGAAAUAAAUGAAAUAGAAACUAAAAAAAACCCAAUAGAGCAGAUCAAUGAAACCAGGAGCUGGUUCUUUGAAAAGAUCAACCAAAUUGAUAAACCUUUAGCCAGACUCAUAAAGGAGAGAGAGAGAGAGGGAGAGGACUCAAAUAAACAAAAUCAGAAGGGAAAGAGGAGAAACGACAACCAACACCACAGAAAUAUGAAGGAUUAUAAGAAUAUUAUGAAAAAUUGUAUGCAAACAAAUUGAACAACCUAGAAGAAAUGAUAAAUCCCUAGAAACAUAUAACCUCCCAAAACUGAAUCAGGAAGAAAUAGAAAACUUGAACAGACUGAUUACCAGGAAUGAAAUUGAAUCAGUAAUCAGAAAACUCCCAACAAACAAAAGUCCAGGAGCAGAUGGCUUCACAGGUGGAUUUUACCGAACAUUUAAAGAAGAGUUAGAAGGAAAGCUUCCAAAAUCACAAAUUCAUUCUGUGAGGCCAGCAUUACCCUGAUACCAAAACCAGGUAAAGACACUUAAAAAAAAAAAAGAGGACGGCUGGGUGGCUCAGUCAGUUAAGCGUCUGCCUUCAGCUCUGGUCAUGAUCCCAGAGUCCUGGGAUCGAGUCCCCCAUCGGGCUCCUGGCUCAGCGGGGAGCCUGCUUCUCCCUCUCCCACUCCCCCUGCUUGUGCGCUCUCGCUCUCUCACUCUUGCUCUAUCGCAAAUAAAUAAAAUCUUUUUUAAAAAAGAGAGAACUACAGGCCAAUAUCUCUGAUGAACACAGAUGCAAAAAUCCUCAACAAAAUAAUAGCCAACCAAAUCCAACAAUACAUUAAAAAAUCAUUCACCGUGAUCAAGUGGGAUUUAUUCCUAGGAUGCAAACGUGAUUCAGUAUUCACAAAUCAAUUAACAUCAUACAUCACGUCAACAAGAGAAAGGAUAAAAAGCACAUGAUUAUUUUAAUAGAUGCAGAAAAGCAUUUGACAUAGUACAAUAUCCAUUCAUGAUAAAAACUCUCAACGAAGUAGAUUUAGAGGGAACAUAUUUCAAUAUAAUAAAGACCAUAUAAAAACCUACAGCUAAAAUCAUACUCAAUGGUGAAAAACUAAAAGCUUUUCCCCAAGAUCAAGAGCAAGACAGGGGUGUCCAUUCUCACUACUUGUAUUCAACAUAGUACUGGAAGUCCUAGCCCCGGGAAUAAGACAAGAAAAAGAAAUAAGUGGCAUCCAAAUGGGUAAGGAAGAAGUAAAACUUUCACUAUUUGCAGGUGACAUGAUACUAUAUAUACAGAAAACCCUCCAGACUCCACCAAAAAUAGACUAGAACUGAUAAAUGCGUUCAGGAAAAUCACAGGAUACAAAAUCAAUAUACAGAAAUCUGCAUUUUUAUACACUAAUGAAGAAGCAGAAAGAGAAAUUAAGAAACAGUCCCAUUCACAAUUAUACCAAAAAUAAUAAACUACCUAGGAAUAAACUUAAACAAGGAAGUGAAAGACCUAUAUUCUGAAAACUAUAAAACACUGAUGAAAAAAAAUUGAAGACAACAUGAAUGGAAAAAUAUUCUAUGCUUAUUGAUGGAAGAACAAAUAUUUUAAAAUGUCCCAUACCCAAAAUGAUCUACAGAUUUAAUGCAAUCCCUAUCAAAACACCAAUAGCAUUUUUCACAGAACUAGAACCAAUAAUUCUAAAAUAUGUAUGGUACCACAAAAGGCCCCAAAUAGCCAAAGCAAUCUUGAGAAAGAACAAAAUUGGAGGUAUCACAAUCCCAGAUUUCAGGGUAUAUCACAAAGCUGUAAUAAUCCAAACAGUAUGGUACUGACGGAAAAGUAGACAAUAGAUCAACGGAACAGAAUAGAGAAUCCAGAAAUAAACCCAUGAUUUUAUGUACAAGCAGGGAGGCAAGAAUAUACAAUGGGGAAAAGAUAGUCUCUUCAAAAACUGGUGUUGGGAAAACUGGACAGGUACAUCCAAAAGAAUGAAACUGGACCACUCUCUUACACUAUACACAAAAAUAAAAUUCAAAAUGGAUUAAAGACCUAAAUGUAAGACUUGAAACCAAAAAAGUCCGAGCAGAGAGCACAGAUAGUAAUUUCUCAGACACUGGUUGUAACAACAUCUUCCUAGAUAUGUCCCCUGAGGCAAGGGAGACAAAAGCAAAAAUAAAUUAUUGGGACUACAUCAAAAUAAAAGGCUUCUGCACAGCAAAGAAAACCACCAAUAAAACGAGAGGACAAGUUACUGAAUGGGAGAAGAUAUUUGCAAAUGAUAUAAAAGGUUAGUAUCCAAAAUAUAUAAAGAGCUUAUACAACUCAACACCAAAAAACCAAAUGAUCCAAUUUAAAAAUAGGCGGAAGACAUCAACAGACAUUUCUCCAAAGAAGACACAGAUGGCCAACAGACACGAAAAGAUGCUCAAAUCACUCAUCAUCAGGGAAAUGCAAAUGAAAACCACAAUGAGCUAUCACCUCAUACCUGUCCAAAUGGCUAAAAUCAACAACACAAGAAACAACAGGUUUUGGCAAGAUUGUGGAGAAAAAGGAACUCUUGUGCACUGUUGGUGGGAAUGCCAACUGGUGCAGCCCCCUGUGGAAAACAAUAUGGAGGUUCCUCAAAAAAUUAAAGAUAGAAUUGCUAUAUGAUCCAUAACUGAGUAUUUACCCCCCAAAUAGAAAAACACUAAUUUGUGGGGUGUCUGGGUGGCUCAGUCGGUUAAGCAUCUAGCACAUGGUUUCAGCUCAGGUCAUAAUCUCGGGAUCAUGGGAUCGAACCCCACAUUGGGUUCUGCGCUCAGCACAGAGUCUGCUUGAGAUUCCCUCUCCCUCUUCCUCUGCCCCUGCCCCCACCUGUCUGCUCACCCUCUCUCAUUCUCAAAUAAAUAAAUAAAUAAAUAAAUAAAUAAAUAAAUAAAUAAAUAAAUAAAUAAAAUCUUUAAAAAGAGAAAAACACUAAUUUAAAAACAUAUAUGCACCCCUAUGUUUGUUGCAACAUUAUUUACAGUAGCCAAAUUAUGGAGCAAGCCCAAGUGUCCACUGAUAGAUGAAUGGAUGAAGAAGAUGUGAUAUAUACACACACACACACACACACACACAAUGGAAUAUUAUUCAGCAAUAAAAAAGAUGAAAUCUUGCCAUUUGCAACAACAUGGAUGGAUUUAGAGGGUAUAAUGCUAAGUGAAAUAAGUCAGAGAAAGACAAAUACCAUAUGAUUUCACUUAUAUGUGGAAUUUAAGAAACAAAACAAAUAAAAAAGAGAUAAACCAAAAGACAGACUCUUAGCUAUAGAAAACAAACUGAUAGUUAUCAGAAGGAAGGUGGGUGGGGGGAUGGAUGGUAGGUGAUGGGGAUUAAGAGUACACUUAUCAUGAUGAGCACUGAGUAAUGUAUAGAAUUAUCUAAUCACUAUAUUGUACACCUGAAACUAAUAAUAACACUUAAUUAUACUGGAAUUGAAAUAAAAUAAAUAUAAAAAAAUUAAAAGAAAGAAAUUGAAUUAAGAAAAUAGUCUAGGGGCACCUGCAUGGCUCAUUCAGUUAAGCAUCUGCCUUCGGCUCAGGUCGUGAUCUCAGGGUCCUGGGAUCAAGCCCCACAUCGGGCUCCCUGCUCAUAGGGGAGUCUGCUUCUCCCCCUCCCCCCGACCCCCCUCCCUGCUCAUGCUCUCUCUCUCUCUCUCACUUCUCUCUCAAAUAAAUAAAAUCUUCAAAAAAAAUUUUUAAAUAGUCUUGUCUUUGCAACAUGCUUAAAAUUAUUGGUAUUAUGGGCCUAGGAUUACCUUAUACUAUCUCUUCUAUUUGAUAUUUAGGGUGAAAAGUUAAGUGUUCAAUGAAAUAGAUGAAAACAAACCCUAUCACUGUGAUUCUAUUUAGAGCUCAUUCAUCAAAUUAAAAUAAGUAGCAAUGGUAUUUUAGAAGAAAUUAAGCUUUAGCUAUUACUGUAAAUGUAACUAUUACAUGACUAAGGAAAGCUCCCUUUAUCUUUCUAAGAAAACUUUUCUCUCCUUGGCUUUACUACAAGGGGAAGAUAGAAUCAGAACACUACAUCUUUCUCAAUUAAUUCCUGAAGAUUAGUAACUCACAAUCCUGGUUACAUACAAGAAUCACUCAAAAAAUUUUUCAAAAUACAGGUUUUCUGGAUCUGAUGAAUCAGAACCUCUGGGGGUUAGAGAGGGAGUGCCUGAAAACUCCCCCAAGUGAGACUGAUGCAUAUCAGUAUUGAUAAGCAGAUACUAGAUUCUAGAAGGAGAGUUUUCCUGGUCUCUAAAUCUCUAACCUCUCUGAAGGGAGAGGCAGAGAAAUGGGACAUAAUCUGGGAAUUGGGGAAGGUGCAGAGAUAAGUUUGCCUACAUUUUUACAUUAAAUAACUGUUGACAGAUGCUUGAUGGGAGGCCAGAAAGUGUUGCCCCAUGAGCCUCCAUGGUUCUAAUACAAUCAAACAUGUCCAGACUAGCACUUGUCCCUUUAAAAGUGGUGAGAAGGGGCAUCUGGGUGGCUCAGUCGGUUAAGCUUCUGACUCUUGAUCUCGGCUCAGGUCGUGAUCUUGGUUCAGGUCAUGAUCUCAGGGCUGUGAGAUCGAGCCCCAGGUCAGGCUCCACUCUCAGCACUGUUUGUGCUUGUCCCUCUCCCUCUGCUACCCCCCACCCAAAUAAAUAAAUAAAAUCUUAAAAAAAAUAAAAGUGGUGAAAAGUCUGAAGGCCACUAUCUACAUGUCACUUCUGUGCUAGUUUGGUUUUAAGAUGAGAGGCCUCAGUAAAGUCUAAAAGGUCUACCAGGACUUGUGCUCUUGCCUCUACCUACUUUUUCAGGCAUAUUUCAUGCUCCUGUACCUUCUGCCUGUAUCUCCAAACUAGCAAACUCUUCCAUGUCUCUGAAACGUCACAUAUUCGCAUUCUGUC